CAGCCGCCAUAGACAGUGAGACACAUUUGAAGGAACUCUCCUCAUUGAAGUUGACAACAAAAGCGACAUUUUUCCAAGAACCCUUUCUUUCUUAGGCUCAUUUCUCGGCCCUAUGAACAAUCGCGGCCUUUACAAUAAUCAAAACCCACUUUCGUUGAGUCACGAUUCUCAUAGAACUGCUCAUAAGCAUCAGAACCAAGCAAGAAGAACGGUCAAGGGUCAUGGCAUGAAACAUUAAUGCACACAUUAGAAGGAAGUUUGGAGUUAUGGAAGAUUUUGUAUUUCAUUUUAAAUUAAGGGGACGAGAAAAGAGGUUGUUGUGAUCAUAAAAUGGAGAAUCUGAUGUGGUGUGUAUGGAUAUGGUCCAUAAAAUAAUGAAAUGCAAAGGAGAAGAAGAUGCCCACUCUGGAAAGAAAAGCAGCACAAAUUGGUGAUUUGGAUUUUGUUUUUUUCUGCAUUAAGCUUGCUUGAAUAUCAAUGACAUGGCUAUUCUCCAUUAACUGGUUUCCACUUUGUUCUUCUACAGACAUCUUUUUUUUGGAUUCCACAAAUUUACCAUCGAUUGAAGUAUCAAUCGAGAACAAGAACAAGAACAAGCAUGUGACAGGUGAUUGAUUGAUUGUUCAGAAACAUAAUGGUCGGUUCAUAAGGUAGAUAGGAUAUUCUUUUAGAACAAUUGUUGAGUUCUUAUCUUAAACUGUUACCAAUUGAUGUCAAUUAAGGUAGAUAAAAGCAAACUAUUUUAGUUUGUGGGUGGGAUGGAUUGGGAAAUCAUUAAUUAGGAAAAAUCUUGAGAUAAGAUAAAAAUGGUUUGAUAAAAGUUAUUAGAUUAGUAAGUCUGAAUCUGAUGAGUCAUGCCUUUUCCUUUUUUUGUUGUAUUAUUGCUCAUGAUAAAGAAGAAAGCAGGUACCAUUUACUUUAAUCUUCACCAA